AUCCUUUCUGGUUCAUAAAGCACGAUGAUUGGAUGUUCAUGCUAUUGCAUGAUAAGUGCCACCCACUAAACCUUGUUACAAUGUGUGCACAUUACCUGUCUGACA